rnacentral:rRNA from 1 species
GUGUCAGCCGCCGCGGUAAUACGAGAGGCCCAAACGUUAUUCGGAUUUACUGGGCUUAAAGAGUUCGUAGGCGGUGCAGAAAGUGGGGUGUGAAAGCCCUCGGCUCAACCGAGGAAUUGCGCUCCAAACUCCUGUACUCGAGGAAGCUAGAGGUGAGCAGAACAGAUGGUGGAGCGGUGAAAUGCGUUGAUAUCAUCUGGAAUACCGGAGGCGAAGGCGGCUCACUGGGGCUUUUCUGACGCUGAGGAACGAAAGCCAGGGUAGCGAACGGGAUUAGAUACCCCCGUAGUCC